UCACUUGCAAAUCUACGUUUCGCUCUCUCGCUCUUCUGCACCAUACAUCACUGUGACAUUUGGUGCAAAAGUGACUUGUGUAUCUGCCAACCAAAACGUGGGCUCUCAGAGAAAUUCAGCCAAUAGGGGAUGGGGCGUGACGUCACCGCUCUAGCGCUGCGGAGGCUGAACUUCGAAACCGAAACCCCCUUUGCGAGAUUCGCUGCAUCUAUACCUGAUUUGCGUUCAAAAAUGCCUGCUUAAUUAUUUCACAGUAGGAGCAAACAUGCCUUAAGAAAAGGAGUACGUUUAAACUUUAGUAACCAUAAAAAGUACGCCAGGUGGAUGCCUUUCUACUCCAGGAAGCCGCAGCCUACGGCAUGAAGGAGGAAGAGGACGCGGUCAGUUUGAAAUAGCUGUUGUGAUGGAGCUGGACCUGUAGACAAGGGAACUAACACAUUUGAGGAAAAAAGAAUCCAAAAUAAGAGAUUGGUGUGUGUGGUGAGGGUAAAGAAGUCCACAGCAGCAUCUUGGAAAUGCUGUAAUGCAGGGGUGCCCAAACUCAGUUCUGGACGACUGGUGUCCUGCAGAGUUUAGAGUCAACUUCAACUAUAAACUCUGCAAGACAGCAGCAGUUCUGGACUGAGUUUAGCCACUCCUGUUCUUCUAUAGUGAACUGAACAAGACCCUGCAUCAGUCCACAUGCCCUUGUGUCCUCAUCUGGACCAGAUGUUGCUGUGGUCUCUUCAUCAUCCGUAUCUCGGGCAUGAACUGCCAUGCAUCACCGUCCUGUUUCAGUCGGACUGCAGCAAUGAGGGAUGUGAUGAUGGCGAAGUCCCUCUGAUCAUCUGUGUGGAGAUACAGCAAAACAUGGGCUUCUGUCUGUAAUACAUCACUGUUAGAAUAAAGCUUGGUUUCAUGUGUUGUUGACUUGUAUUUAUUUGUCAUGAUUACUCAUAUUCAUUCUUUUAAUAAUAUAAUUAUGUUUCUGUUUGUUUUCAAUAAAUAAUGAUAAUACUUUCAA